rnacentral:rRNA from 1 species
CCUACGGGUGGCAGCAGUGGGGAAUAUUGCGCAAUGGACGAAAGUCUGAUGCAGCAACGCCGCGUGAAGGAAGACGGUUUUCGGAUUGUAAACUUCUUUUCUUAGGGAAGAAUAAUGACAGUAACUUAAGAGUAAGCCACGGCUAACUACGUGCCAGCAGCCGCGGUAAUACGUAGGGGGCAAGCGUUUUCCGGAAUUACUGGGUGUAAAGGGAGCGUAGGCGGAGAGGCAAGUCAGCUGUGAAAGCCACGGGCUUAACUUGGGAACUGCAAGUAAAACUGGUUCUCUUGAGUGAAGUAGCGGUAGGAGGAAUUCAGAGUGUAGCGGUGAAAUGCGUAGAUAUUAGGAGGAACACCGGUGGCGAAGGCGGCUUACUGGGCAUUAACUGACGUUGAGGCACGAAAGUGUGGGGAGCAAACAGGAUUAGAUACCCUGGUAGUC